GAUGAACGCUGGCGGCGUGCCUAAUACAUGCAAGUCGAGCGAACGGACGAGAAGCUUGCUUCUCUGAUGUUAGCGGCAGACGGGUGAGUAACACGUGGAUAACCUCCCUAUAUGACGGGUAAAACUUCGGGAAACCGGAGCUAAUACCGGAUAAUCUCUUGAACCGCAGGGUUCAAAAGUGAAAGACGGUGUUGCUGUCACGUAUAGAUGGAUCCGCGCUGCAUUAGCUAGUUGGUAAGGUAAUGGCUUACGAAGGCAACGAUGCGUAGCCGACCUGAGAGGGUGAUAGGCGACACUGGAACUUGGACACGCACAAGAGUCCUACGGGAGGCAGCAGUAGCGUAUGUUACGCAGAGGUGGGGAGUAUGACGCAGCGACGCGGAGCGAGUGAUGGCGGCCUUCGGAUCGUAAUGCUCUGUUAUGAGUGAUGAACAUAUGUGUAAGGAACUGUGCACUUCGUGACGGUAACGAAUCAGAAAGCCCCGGCUAACUACGUG
rnacentral:rRNA from 1 species